CCCACCCGGCCACCCCGACUGGCGACUCCCCGCCUGCCUGCCGCCGCCGCCUCCCUAGCUCCUUCAUUGCUCGACUGCUGGGCCGCCGCCGCCGGUCAUCGACGUGCCGGCCUCCCCGGACCCCAGCCAGCCCCCAAGCUUCCUCACGCGCCCGCGCCAAGGCAGUCUGCUCUGCUGCUUGCCUGCUCAGCAGCUCACGCUCGGAGGCGGAGUGGCCCGCGGCCCCGGCCCCGUGCUGAUGGUCGCGGCUGCAGGCGCUAGGCGGCGGCCAGGGCCCGUGCCGCGCGGGAGACCAGCCGUGCACUCAGGCGCAGCGGUGCUUCAGAUCCGUGAUGUCGAUGGUGGCCAUGGCGUCCGCCCAGCUGCACAUCAGCACCAGACGGCAGGCGUAGCAAAGCAGGAAGUUGCCGAAAGAGUUUGAUGACCCGACCUUCUCCACUGUAACGAUCCAGAGGAUCGUGCUUGGCUGCUUGCGAAUUGGGAUUUUGUUGCUCUGUACUUGUCAGCUUGUGCAAUGCUUGAAUGCUUCGUUAUGACUCUUGUUUGAAUAUAACUUAGAUUGGUUGAAGUAGUUAA